CGGGAUUUGCUUUAUGGCAUCAAGGAGGGGAAUGUUGGCAUGCACCUUUCUAAAUGUCUCUAGAACAUCUUUUUCCUCCUCUUCGUUCUUUGAUUGCAAAAAAUCUGCUAGGAAAGGGGACAUUGGGCAGAUUAGUAUUCGAAAUCACAACAUUUGGAACAUUCUUACCUGAGGUGGACGGAUGGGAUGUCUUAGAUGGCUGCGGCAUGGGUGAUGGUACCCUUGCCGUGGGGUAGGUGUUCUCAUCUUCUUCGAGUUGUAUCUUCUCAUCUUCCUUGUUUCUCACCUCUUUUUCCACUUCGUAAUGUGAUAGCCUUUGCAGAUUCGAAGCCACCCUUUGGAUUGACCACCGUAGUGCUUGGUAACUUACCAUUUUCACGGAAUUGCCCCAAAAAUUCGGCCAUUUGGCCCAUUUGCUUCUUCAACUCAUUAACCUCCUUUGCUUGGUUCUGCAUUCCCUGCGCCAUGGUGGUUAGUAACUGAUAUGUUUUAUCAUCAUUCAUAGACGUACCUGGGUUAGUUUGGGAAGAUUGUGCCUGAGGAGGUGGUUGUGGUUCCAUUGGCCUUGGAAAGAAACCCAGGGGUUGUCGGAAUCCACUUUGUUGGCCAUAUUGUGGUGCAUCUCUCCAUCUGAAAUUGGGGUGGUCAUGCCAUCCCGGGUUGUAUGUAUUGGAGAAAGGAUCAUUCCUUGGUUGGUUUUGAUUCCCAUAACCCACAGCA
rnacentral:lncRNA from 1 species